rnacentral:rRNA from 1 species
UGGAGUAUGUGGUUUAAUUCGAUGCAACGCGAAGAACCUUACCUGGUCUUGACAUCCCGGAGACCCUUAGGAAACUAGGGGUGCUUCCAUCUGGAAGAAUCCGGAGACAGGUGCUGCAUGGCUGUCGUCAGCUCGUGUCGUGAGAUGUUGGGUUAAGUCCCGCAACGAGCGCAACCCUUGCCUUUAGUUGCCAGCAGUUCGGCUGGGCACUCUAAAGGGACUGCCGGUGACAAACCGGAGGAAGGUGGGGAUGACGUCAAGUCCUCAUGGCCUUUAUGACCAGGGCUACACACGUACUACAAUGGCCGAUACAAAGGGCAGCGACACUGCGAGGUGAAGCCAAUCCCGUAAAAUCGGUCUCAGUCCGGAUUGGAGUCUGCAACUCGACUCCAUGAAGUUGGAAUCGCUAGUAAUCGUGGAUCAGCAUGCCACGGUGAAUACGUUCCCGGGCCUU